GGUGAGAUGUCCGAGUGGUUUAAGGAGCACGCCUGGAAAGCGUGUAUACAAUAAAAUGUAUCAAGGGUUCGAAUCCCUUUCUCACCA
rnacentral:tRNA from 1 species